rnacentral:rRNA from 1 species
CCUACGGGAGUCAGCAGUGGGGAAUUUUGGACAAUGGGCGCAAGCCUGAUCCAGCCAUGCCGCGUGUGGGAAGAAGGCCUUCGGGUUGUAAACCACUUUUGUCAGGGAAGAAACGGCUUUUUCUAAUACAGAGAGCUAAUGACGGUACCUGAAGAAUAAGCACCGGCUAACUACGUGCCAGCAGCCGCGGUAAUACGUAGGGUGCAAGCGUUAAUCGGAAUUACUGGGCGUAAAGCGUGCGCAGGCGGCUUUGCAAGACAGAUGUGAAAUCCCCGGGCUCAACCUGGGAACUGCAUUUGUGACUGCAUGGCUAGAGUACGGUAGAGGGGGAUGGAAUUCCGCGUGUAGCAGUGAAAUGCGUAGAUAUGCGGAGGAACACCGAUGGCGAAGGCAAUCCCCUGGGCCUGUACUGACGCUCAUGCACGAAAGCGUGGGGAGCAAACAGGAUUAGAUACCCUGGUAGUCCACGCCCCAAACGAUGUCAACUGGUUGUUGGACGGCUUGCUGUUCAGUAACGAAGCUAAACGCGUGAAGUUGACCGCCUGGGGAGUACGGCCGCAAGGUUGAAACUCAAAGGAUUGACGG